GGGAAUAUUGCACAAUGGGGGAAACCCUGAUGCAGCAACGCCGCGUGAAGGAAGACGGUUUUCGGAUUGUAAACUUCUGUUCUUAGUGAAGAAAAAUGACGGUAGCUAAGGAGCAAGCCACGGCUAACUACGUGCCAGCAGCCGCGGUAAUACGUAGGGGGCAAGCGUUAUCCGGAUUUACUGGGUGUAAAGGGAGCGUAGACGGUUAUGCAAGUCUGGAGUGAAAGCCCGGGGCUCAACCCCGGGACUGCUUUGGAAACUGUAAAACUGGAGUGCAGGAGAGGCAGGCGGAAUUCCUAGUGUAGCGGUGAAAUGCGUAGAGAUCUGGAGGAAUACCGGUGGCGAAGGCGGCCCCCUGGACGAAGACUGACGCUCAGGUGCGAAAGCGUGGGGAGCAAACAGG
rnacentral:rRNA from 1 species